GAUGAACGCUAGCUACAGGCUUAACACAUGCAAGUCGCGGGGCAGCAUGGGGGUUGCUUGCAACCCCUGAUGGCGACCGGCGCACGGGUGAGUAACGCGUAUCCAACCUGCCCUUCACCACGGGAUAACCCGGCGAAAGUCGGACUAAUACCGUAUGUUGUCCAUUGACGGCAUCCGAUUUUGACGAAAUGCUUGGCGGGGAGAGGAUGGGGAUGCGUCCGAUUAGCUUGAUGGCGGGGUAACGGCCCACCGUGGCCACGAUCGGUAGGGGUUCUGAGCGGAAGGUCCCCCACACUGGAACUGGGACACGGUCCAGACUCCUACGGGAGGCAGCAGUGAGGAAUAUUGGUCAAUGGGCGUAAGCCUGAUCCAGCCAAGUAGCGUGCAGGAUGACGGCGCUAUGGGUGGUAAACUGCUUUUAUGCGGGGAUAAAGUGGCCCGCGUGUGGGAUUUUGCAGGUACCGCAUGAAUAAGGACCGGCUAAUUCCGUG
rnacentral:rRNA from 1 species